AUUGAACGCUGGCGGAAUGCUUUACACAUGCAAGUCGAACGGCAGCACGGACUUCGGUCUGGUGGCGAGUGGCGAACGGGUGAGUAACGUAUCGGAACGUGCCCAGUCGUGGGGGAUAACGUAGUGAAAAUUACGCUAAUACCGCAUACGAUCUAUGGAUGAAAGCGGGGGAUCGCAAGACCUCGAGCGAUUGGAUCGGCCGAUAUCCGAUUAGGUGGUUGGUGGGGUAAAGGCCCACCAAGCCAACGAUCUGUAGCUGGUCUGAGAGGACGACCAGCCACACUGGAACUGAGACACGGUCCAGACUCCUACGGGAGGCAGCAGUGGGGAAUGUUGGACAAUGGGCGAAAGCCUGAUCCAGCCAUUCCGCGUGCAGGAUGAAGGCCCUCGGGUUGUAAACUGCUUUUGUACAGAACGAAAAGGUUUCUACUAAUACUAGGAGCUCAUGACGGUACUGUAAGAAUAAGCACCGGCUAACUACGUGCCAGCCGCCGCCGUAA
rnacentral:rRNA from 1 species